UCUGUAAAACAAGAAAUAAAAUUGAUCUGGCCUGAUUGUUAAUUGAUGGGUAUUUAGUUAACGAUCUAUAUUGAUAGCCAGCCCUACUCUCAUAGCUUACAAAAUGUAUCUUAUCAUCCAAGAUACUGCAGUACAUGCCAACAGAAGCCUGCUCGGGGUAGUCCAAUGCUGUGGUUCGGUUGACAACAUGACAGUUUUGUCUCUAUUUGUUUGUCCAAAGUACUGAAGUCAUCCAAAUUGGAACAGUGAAGAUUGUUGUUGUAUUUAACAAUCUAAGUUUCUCACACGUCGUGUUGUGAAGAUAAUCAGUAGGAAGCACGGAUCGCAUCUUGUGUGAUAACCAUGUUCGGGUGGUUGGUUAGUGGUAAACACAUGUUGAUGGAUCCCAAAUUAUGUAUUUAUUCAAAGAUUAUUGUUCUUCCAAACAUUCAUUGACUCAGAAGUCAUUUAGCCAGUAUUUCUUCACUCUAAUCAUACAUAUUUAUGUUUUGCAAGGGCAUCGUCUAUUGACUCAUUUGUUGCUAUGACGUUUGCAUCCUUCUGUUGUACAGUACUGCCUAACAUUAACUUGUUACAUCUUUGAUUAAGCAUCAGUGCAUGUUACUUGUGGAUAAUUUUGGCAGAGUUCUCUAUUUUAUUUUUCAUAAAUCAUACCCUCGAUAGUUAGGGGUUUUUGCCAUCAUUUAUGGUCACAUCGUUCAUUGAGGAAGAGUGCUAUAUAUAGAAUCACUAUGCACAGAUCAUGUUAGUAUUAGUGUGUAUCAUCAGCGUUGUUUUCAUGUUUUGUCACAGAAUGACAAGUCAAAACAUUCCGUCCAGUUUUGCAAUGCGAUAUGUUUACUAGUUGUAUUGUGUUGUGGAUGUCAGACAUUUUUUACUUGAUAUUACUCUGUAGAAACAUCUAGACCAUGAAUGUCAUCUACAGAAUUAUUUAACAAUAUUUAUUAAUCUGCGAAAGAUGUGUUGUUGUUAUUUAUUAUUAAUUAUUGCCUGGAUAAGUUAAAUAAUUUUAUUCCUGGUUGAAUAGAUGUAUUUACAUUCCUCACAAGGGAUUGCUUGUAUGUCUGAUACAGUGCUUUGCCAUGAUCUGGUUGGUUUCUUUCUAUUUAUUUCCAUUAGAUUUUUAGAUGGAAAUACAGUCAGGCCAUGUUAAUCCGAACACUUCCGGGUUUUUUCAAAAAUGUUCGGAUAGUGAAACAUAUGGACUACUGAAACUAACUAUUAUGUAAACCACUACAGUAGAGUUGCUUCCCUUUGACAUACCGAGACAAGAACAUAACGUAUACAUGUAUCCAAUGACUUUAUUACAGUUUUUAUAACAAUCAAAACUCAAAAACUCACUCGGGUUUAUGGAAAACGCCAAUGACAGUGGUGCUGGGAGGCAGGAAAUGAACUUUCACACUGGUCAAUUUGACAUUGGCACACUCGGGACUGGCAGCCUUGUCACAAAGUAGGUGUCGACCACGUGAUCGCAUCUGUCUGUCAAAAGAUUUCAGCCAAUCACAUAACAUGUCUGAUGUCAUCCACACUUUAUUGUUGAACCGAUAGCGGACAUACAUUUCUGGGUUUAAGUCUCUUCCAAAACAUCUGGUACGUGUGGACUUGGCGAUGACAAAUGGCUUAAUUUUGAUUGUGCCAGUUGUGUUUGCACAAGUGAGACCUAUGAAUUGAUUAAAAUCACAAAGACAUGUUCAACUCGGAAGUGUCACCUCACUUAUCAAUCACCAUUGAAGUUUCCCGAUGAAGAUCAGCGCUAAUCAAUGUUGCUCAUGAGGUAGGGGGAUUAUCCAAACCUUUUUGAUGUACCGCCGGAUUAAUGAAAUAAAACCAAGUUUAAUUAGCUAAUCUGUAUACCCUAAUUAACUUCCGGAUCCAGAGAGUGAAGCACCGGAUUAAUGAAUCAACAGUUUACAUAGUAAACUAGAUUGGUUACAGUUAGCUGCCGUUCGGAUAUCGCAGGAAUUGGAUUAUCAGGGUCCGGACUAACGCGGCCUGACUGUAUAUAUAUUUUAGAUGUCUCGAGUUUUACAUUGAAGUCCUGUACUUAUUUAUUUCUACUCUGUAGCCAUGUUCAAGAUUUGCAUUCUUGAAGUACAAGUGUUUGUUUUGUAUUUCAUCCAUGUGAUGUCAUCGUUUAAACGGGUUCACAUAUCCAUACCCCGAUAUUCCACAUAUUGUGUGACAUUCUCAUCCAACCACUGUGUAAGCGGUAUGUACACUAAAGUGCAAGGUGGUUCAGUCAAAUUUGAAAGAUUUUCAGAUGCCUGAAAUUUUGUUUUGGAUUGUGGAACUAUCUAGCUCUGUUGCUAUGAUAGAUCUUAUUUUAUACCAUGUUGUCUUUGUAGUCUGUGAUAAACAUCCUUUGUGUAUCAUUUUUAUAUUUAUUUAAGAGUAAACUGAACUUUUACCUUUACUCUAACAAUAUGUCAUAUGGUAGUAUAUUCCGUCCUGUGAACAUCAUUCAAGCUUCCUGACCAAGAAGGGUUAGGGACUAAAGGGAGGUAACUCCACUGACUUCUCUCCAUCCUCAUCAGAUGUUUUAUGCCAAUUCCUGAGAAUGGCACAUGUGAGAGAUGUGUAACAUGUGGAAGGAAUUUCAAGAAUAUAUUUUCCAAGUUAUAACUUAACAGCAGGUGCUUGUAGCCGAACAUGUCCAUUCAUGAACAUGAUACUCCACAGAUCAUCACUGAAAGGUUUUUCUCCUGUUGUGAAAUAAAACAAAAAGCAUCCAUGAUGAUCAGACAAAUUAUUUCAAUCGAAAUCGUAUAAAAAGAAGUCAAUUUGUUUCCUAAUAGUGUAGAUAUUGUCGCCAAGAAGCAUCCCUGGUUAAUGAGAAGCCAGAAUUCAAACUUGAGGCGUUUGUUGAGGAGAUGAAAUUUGGCGCUGUGGUAUAACUGAAGUAUUCUUCUGACGGCAUUCACUCACUCUGAUGGUCUUACCUUUGGGUAACAUCUAAUAACACCUUUUAAUAAGUAUUUAUCAGUAUAUCUCAUAUCCCAGGAUCUAUCAAGACCUGUUUAAAAGCAGCCAUUGGACUCAGUCUGCACCAUUUGUCAGUAACAAGUACCAAAGUGGAAUUAAAAAGUGUUUCGAAAUUCCAGUUAAUAGUUGAUUGUCUUGUGGUGGUGUUGGUGGGCCUGCUUAUCCCAUGAUUGUAGGGACCAAAAAGCAGGAAGAAGCUUGAAAGCUUCAUUUUGCCUAAAUAGUUGAAUACUUAAUUAUGAGCAAUGAAGAAAAUAGGAAUUUAUAGAACAAACAUCCCUUUUUGAAAAAACAUACUUUUUUCACAGCUUACUUCAGAAUCCAUGAAACUCUGAGAAUCUGAUCUCUGUAAAUGCCUAUUUGGAAAUUGUACCUAGAUAGAUCUAUGUGAUUGUGUUGUAAGUCCUGUUAAGGCCAUAAUGUGUUAAAUUCAGAAAGUCGAUGUUCUGGCUAGGAAGCUUUCUUUACUCCAUGCAUAAAGUGCAGACAGUUACGUUAUUCGAUGCAUUGGAUGACAGUUGUGAGGUACUAUGUUUGUGAGAUGUAGAACUUGUGUCAUUUUAUGGCAGUGGCGUGGACCAUGGGACUUGACACCGCCAUCCUGCCUUACAAUUUGUUGUUAUCUUAUAUUAAUCAUGGACAUAAUACCUUGUUGAUCACCAUAGUAUGUAUGUAGAUUAUUUAUAACAAAAUUCACUGCCAAUAAAACUCAUAUCAGAA